rnacentral:hammerhead_ribozyme from 1 species
AUCUAGCUUAAGAGUCCCAAAUAGGAUGAAACGCGCGUCAAACUGGAU